ACGGGUAACGGGGACCCCCUAUGGAUCCCCAUGGAUACUAGUAGACUGUUAAAAGAGGAAAAUAUGUUGUUUAAUUAUUUAAAUGCAAAGACAUGGUAAGUGUUAUGUUAUACAGUUUAUAUGAUUUCAUGAUGAUGAUAAUGUUAUUGCUUUCAUAUGUCGUUUUCAUGGAUCUCACCGAGGUAAGUGAACAGUAAAGAUUUUUAUAUUAAUAAACGAGUUCGUUAUAAAUUAUGCUCCAUUGCUCAUUUUUAUUUUCUACCCACCUUUACUUUCGUGGCGGUGAGAUAGUGUGAUGUCUUUACUG
rnacentral:lncRNA from 1 species